CAUCCAGCUGUUUUAGGACUACAACUCCCAUCAUUCCUAGCUAACGGGACCAGUGGUCAGGGAUGAUGGGAACUGUAGUCCCAAAACAGCUGGAGG
rnacentral:miRNA from 1 species